rnacentral:rRNA from 1 species
GCUUACAACUAUACCAGUCUGAGCAUCUUAUCAUAACUAAGCUGGGUCAGGCUUGGUUAGCACACGGACAUGAGACCACCUUAGAAUACCUUGGUAUUGUGAGCU